GAUGAACGCUGGCGGCGUGCCUAAUACAUGCAAGUCGAACGAACUUGAGGGAGCUUGCUCCUAAGAGUUAGUGGCGAACGGGUGAGUAAUGCAUAACCAACCUGCCUAUAAGGACUGGGAUAACGUUUGGAAACGAACGCUAAAACCGGAUAGGUCAUCGGAAGGCAUCUUCUGAUGAUUAAAGGUGAGAAACACAAAUAGAUGGGGUUAUGUCGCAUUAGUUAGUUGGUGAGGUAACGGCUCACCAAGACGAUGAUGCGUAGCCGGCCUGAGAGGGUGAACGGCCACAUUGGGACUGAGACACGGCCCAAACUCCUACGGGAGGCAGCAGUAGGGAAUUUUCGGCAAUGGGCGCAAGCCUGACCGAGCAACGCCGCGUGAGUGAAGACGGCCUUCGGGUUGUAAAGCUCUGUUGUAAAGGAAGAACGGCCUGGAUAGGAUCUAGGAGUGACGGUACUUUACCAGAAAGCCACGGCUAACUACGUGCCAGCCGCCGCCGUAAUAC
rnacentral:rRNA from 1 species